UAACUGUGCUAAGGUAGCAUAAUCAUUUGUCUUUUAAUUGAGGGCUUGUAUGAAAGGUUGGACGAGAUAUUAACUUUCUUUAAUUUAAUUUCAAGAACUUAAUUUUUAAGUUAAAAAGCUUAGAUUUGCUUGUUGGACGAGAAGACCCUAUAGAUCUUUAUAGUUUUUAGUUUUAGUAAUUUAGAGGUUGAUUUAUUUGAAGUGAAAAAAUUAUUUUGUUGGGGUGACUGUAGAAUUUUAUGAACUUCUAUUUUUAUAUUUCAUAUGUUAGUGUUUUUUUGAUCCAUAUAUUUAUGAUUAGAAGAUUAAGUUACCUUAGGGAUAACAGCGUAAUUUCUUUGGAGAGUUCAUAUUGAUAAAGGAGUUUGCGACCUCGAUGUUGGAUU
rnacentral:rRNA from 1 species